UACGUAGGGCGCAAGCGUUGUCCGGAAUUAUUGGGCGUAAAGAGCUCGUAGGCGGCCUGUUGCGUCCGCUGUGAAAUCCCGGGGCUCAACCCCGGGCCUGCAGUGGAUACGGGCUGGCUAGAGGCAGGCAGGGGAGAACGGAAUUCCUGGUGUAGCGGUGAAAUGCGCAGAUAUCAGGAGGAACACCGGUGGCGAAGGCGGUUCUCUGGGCCUGUACUGACGCUGAGGAGCGAAAGCGUGGGAGCGAACAGG
rnacentral:rRNA from 1 species